rnacentral:rRNA from 1 species
AGCAGAAGCUUGCUUCUCUUGAGAGCGGNGGACGGGUGAGUAAAGCCUAGGAAUCUGCCUGGUAGUGGGGGAUAACGUUCGGAAACGGACGCUAAUACCGCAUACGUCCUACGGGAGAAAGCAGGGGACCUUCGGGCCUUGCGCUAUCAGAUGAGCCUAGGUCGGAUUAGCUAGUUGGUGAGGUAACGGCUCACCAAGGCGACGAUCCGUAACUGGUCUGAGAGGAUGAUCAGUCACACUGGAACUGAGACACGGUCCAGACUCCUACGGGAGGCAGCAGUGGGGAAUAUUGGACAAUGGGCGAAAGCCUGAUCCAGCCAUGCCGCGUGUGUGAAG